rnacentral:rRNA from 1 species
CCUACGGGGGGCUGCAGUGGGGAAUAUUGCACAAUGGGCGCAAGCCUGAUGCAGCCAUGCCGCGUGUGUGAAGAAGGCCUUCGGGUUGUAAAGCACUUUCAGCGGGGAGGAAGGCGUUAAGGUUAAUAACCUUGGCGAUUGACGUUACCCGCAGAAGAAGCACCGGCUAACUCCGUGCCAGCAGCCGCGGUAAUACGGAGGGUGCAAGCGUUAAUCGAAAUUACUGGGCGUAAAGCGCACGCAGGCGGUCUGUCAAGUCGGAUGUGAAAUCCCCGGGCUCAACCUGGAAACUGCAUUCGAAACUGGCAGGCUAGAGUCUUGUAGAGGGGGGUAGAAUUCCAGGUGUAGCGGUGAAAUGCGUAGAGAUCUGGAGGAAUACCGGUGGCGAAGGCGGCCCCCUGGACAAAGACUGACGCUCAGGUGCGAAAGCGUGGGGAGCAAACAGGAUUAGAUACCCUUGUAGUC